GCCGUCUCGCGCAGUCGUGCUUGGGCGCGUCCGAGCGAGCUGCACGCGGCAGCAGCGGAGCCAAAGCCUACCGAGGGGGUGUUAGCAGGGAGACGUCAUGGCAACCAUAACCGAGGUGCGGUCAGCGGGACGGUCCUCGGAGGCUCUGUGUGACACGGGGAUUAUAAGGCACCCGCGCAAGAGAACUAUCUUCAACCAACCUCUGCAAUGGAACCUGACUAUGUGUUAAAAUCUAAAAUUUUGGGAGGACCUAGUAUCUUCAUUGAGAAUGAUGCUGGCAAGACUAUGAGCUCCUAGUCAAGUCAUCCUUCCCUGUAAACUUGGAAUAUUUUAAGGUUUAUUGGGGGAGGGGGGAAUGUUGAACUUUCAUAGUUAUACCUGGAAGUUGAUGUGACCAAACUGAAGCCACAAGGACAUGUACUCAGUGUUCAUGUUGAAAGGGCAUACCCAUAUUUUAUGAGGACCAGUACAACUGGGGAAUGAAAUAUGGAAGCAUUUAUCUACACUACACAGGCGGUCCCUGUGCAAUGAACCAAGGAAAACCUAAAAUUGUCAAAAUAAAAUAAACCAUUCUAAAUUGGAUGUUUAGGAAUAAGAGAACUUGAAUAGUAUGAGCAGGUUGAGUUAGUUGAGAAAUGAUUUAUGGCAUAAAACCACAUCAAGAACUGCAAUAGCAGUAAUAUUAGGAACAGAAUAUUGUUAAGGAUCUGUCCCAUUUUAUAAUGGAAUAACUUAAAUUGUCCUAUUAAUUAUAUAUGUAUUACAUGUUACAUGUACAUGAAUUACAUUGAAGUUUCUCAAUCCAAAACCCAGAAAGGGUAAGUAAUGAGUUAUGGGGAAGAAAGGUGAAAGUUUGAAAGAUAAAACCUGGAAUUACCAGAAGAUUUGGAUUGGGUAAUUGCAAUGGUUGAUUAGUUUUGCAGGAAAAAUUGUUUAUUUUUAGCACUUUUUCACAAAUUGCACAGACAAACAUCAUUUGACAGAUGAGAUCAAAUUCAGAUUAACUACAUGAUAAGAAUUAGAAAAAGAAAAAAUGAAGUUCAGCAAAAAUAAAAUAUAAAAAAAAUGACAGUGACUUUCAGGUAGGGUAAAAACUCAUGUGCAAGGAAAUAUGACAGCCGAACUAUCAAGCAAGA